rnacentral:rRNA from 1 species
AUUGAACGCUGGCGGCAUGCUUUACACAUGCAAGUCGAACGGCAGCGCGGGCUUCGGCCUGGCGGCGAGUGGCGAACGGGUGAGUAAUACAUCGGAACGUGCCCAGUAGUGGGGGAUAGCUCGGCGAAAGCCAGAUUAAUACCGCAUACGACCUGAGGGUGAAAGCGGGGGAUCUUCGGACCUCGCGCUAUUGGAGCGGCCGAUGGCAGAUUAGCUAGUUGGUGGGGUAAAGGCCUACCAAGGCGACGAUCUGUAGCUGGUCUGAGAGGACGACCAGCCACACUGGGACUGAGACACGGCCCAGACUCCUACGGGAGGCAGCAGUGGGGAAUUUUGGACAAUGGGCGAAAGCCUGAUCCAGCAAUGCCGCGUGUGUGAUGAAGGCCUUCGGGUUGUAAAGCACUUUUGGCGGGAACGAAAAGGACUGUGCCAAUACCACGGUUCGAUGACGGUACCCGCAGAAUAAGCACCGGCUAACUACGUG